GAUGAACGCUGGCGGCGUGCCUAAUACAUGCAAGUAGAACGCUGAAGCUUGGUGCUUGCACCGAGCGGAUGAGUUGCGAACGGGUGAGUAACGCGUAGGUAACCUGCCUCUUAGCGGGGGAUAACUAUUGGAAACGAUAGCUAAUACCGCAUAAAAGUCGAUAUCGCAUGAUAUUGAUUUGAAAGGUGCAAAUGCAUCACUAAGAGAUGGACCUGCGUUGUAUUAGCUAGUUGGUGAGGUAACGGCUCACCAAGGCGACGAUACAUAGCCGACCUGAGAGGGUGAUCGGCCACACUGGGACUGAGACACGGCCCAGACUCCUACGGGAGGCAGCAGUAGGGAAUCUUCGGCAAUGGGGGCAACCCUGACCGAGCAACGCCGCGUGAGUGAAGAAGGUUUUCGGAUCGUAAAGCUCUGUUGUAAGAGAAGAACGAGUGUGAGAGUGGAAAGUUCACACUGCGACGGUAACUUACCAGAAAGGGACGGCUAACUACG
rnacentral:rRNA from 1 species